UAGUUUGAUAUGAUUACUUAA
ensembl:piRNA 21ur-13528 ncRNA